ensembl:snRNA U6 U6 spliceosomal RNA
CUUUGGCAGCACAUGCAUACUAAAAUUGGAACUAUAUAGAAAAGAUUAGCAUGACCCUUGCCCAAGGAUGACAAACAGAUUCAUGAAGUGCUCCAUAAUUUU